GUUAAAGACACUGUAAAUAUAUUUGAUCUUCUAUUAAUUCUCUUAUUUUUUGACAAAAAAGGUAAGUUUUGAGGAGAAGUCUAGUUGCACGUUGUAUGGCGAAACGUUAACGGCGUAUUGAUCCACUUUCACUGUCAAACGAAGAAACUUAUUUAAAACAUAUUCGUAUAUAUUCUUUUUCUUAAUUACUUAAAUAAUCUCGCAAAAACGAAGUACAGAUCCGCAGUCAAGUGAAAGAAUGAUUUUUCAUCUCCACGAUAAUUUAAAAAAAAAAAAGA